UCGAGAAUCUUCGGCAAUGGGGGCAACCCUGACCGAGCGACGCCGCGUGCGAGAUGAAGGCCUUCGGGUUGUAAAUCGCUGUCAGAGGGGAGGAAAUGCUGGAGGGUUCUCCCUCCAGUUUGACCUAGCCUCAGAGGAAGGACGGGCUAAGUUCGUGCCAGCAGCCGCGGUAAGACGAACCGUCCAAACGUUAUUCGGAAUCACUGGGCUUAAAGGGUGCGUAGGCGGUCCGGGAAGUUGGGUGUGCAAGCCCUCGGCUCAACCGAGGAAUUGCGUCCAAAACUGCCGGGCUUGAGGGAGACAGAGGUGAGCGGAACCUAGGGUGGAGCGGUGAAAUGCGUUGAGAUCCUAGGGAACACCAGUAGCGAAAGCGGCUCACUGGGUCUCUUCUGACGCUGAUGCACGAAAGCUAGGGGAGCGAAGA
rnacentral:rRNA from 1 species